GAGGAAUAUUGGUCAAUGGACGAGAGUCUGAACCAGCCAAGUAGCGUGAAGGAUGACUGCCCUAUGGGUUGUAAACUUCUUUUAUACGGGAAUAAAGUUAGCCACGUGUGGCUUUUUGUAUGUACCGUAUGAAUAAGGAUCGGCUAACUCCGUGCCAGCAGCCGCGGUAAUACGGAGGAUCCGAGCGUUAUCCGGAUUUAUUGGGUUUAAAGGGAGCGUAGGCGGGUUGUUAAGUCAGUUGUGAAAGUUUGCGGCUCAACCGUAAAAUUGCAGUUGAUACUGGCGACCUUGAGUGCAACAGAGGUAGGCGGAAUUCGUGGUGUAGCGGUGAAAUGCUUAGAUAUCACGAAGAACUCCGAUUGCGAAGGCAGCUUACUGGAUUGUAACUGACGCUGAUGCUCGAAAGUGUGGGUAUCAAACAGGAUUAGAUACCCUGGUAGUCCACACAGUAAACGAUGAAUACUCGCUGUUGGCGAUAUACGGUCAGCGGCCAAGCGAAAGCAUUAAGUAUUCCACCUGGGGAGUACGCCGGCAACGGUGAAACUCAAAGGAAUUGACGGGGGCCCGCACAAGCGGAGGAACAUGUGGUUUAAUUCGAUGAUACGCGAGGAACCUUACCCGGGCUUAAAUUGCAACUGACUGAACCGGAAACGGUUCUUUCUUCGGACAGUUGUGAAGGUGCUGCAUGGUUGUCGUCAGCUCGUGCCGUGAGGUGUCAGCUUAAGUGCCAUAACGAGCGCAACCCUUAUCGAUAGUUACUAGCAGGUCAUGCUGAGGACUCUAUUGAGACUGCCGUCGUAAGAUGUGAGGAAGGUGGGGAUGACGUCAAAUCAGCACGGCCCUUACGUCCGGGGCUACACACGUGUUACAAUGGGGGGUACAGAAGGCAGCUACACGGCGACGUGGUGCUAAUCCCGAAAGCCUCUCUCAGUUCGGAUUGGAGUCUGCAACCCGACUCCAUGAAGCUGGAUUCGCUAGUAAUCGCGCAUCAGCCACGGCGCGGUGAAUACGUUCCCG
rnacentral:rRNA from 1 species